UACGAAGGGGGCUAGCGUUGUUCGGAUUCAUUGGGCGUAAAGGGUGCGUAGGCGGUGUCGUAAGUCGGAUGUGAAAUCCCGGGGCUUAACUUCGGAACUGCAUUCGAUACUGCGAUACUCGAGGACUCGAGAGGAGAUUGGAAUUCACGGUGUAGCAGUGAAAUGCGUAGAUAUCAGGAGGAACACCGGUGGCGAAGGCGGCUUUCUGGACAGAUACCGACGCUGAGGCACGAAAGCUAGGGGAGCAAACAGG
rnacentral:rRNA from 1 species